GAAAAACAACAUAAAGAAUUCACCUUCGAUAUCUACCAUUCAUACUAAAUUACGCUAACAUAGAGGAUCUAAUCAAUGCACCUACAGGUAAGGGAUCUAUCAAAUACAUACCAAAAUUUACAAGCAAAAUGGAAAGUGAGCCAGAUUU